GCGUGUCCGCCUCCGCAUAACAUCUACCAUCCCCAACGUGGUCUGCCCAGGCCUCAGAGAGAGGGCAGUGCCUCUUCCAGCAGCUGGAAAGGAACUCAGAGAAUGGCCUCUCCAAGGACACCUGGCAUCUGACACCUUCCCCAAGGAGAGGCCCAACUCAAUAUAUACUGAGUAUUAUCUUACCAGAUCUGAAGAAGGAUCACCUCUGAGAUGUUCACAAUUUGAAUAUUCUUCUAAAUACAGUUACAUCUGCCUUAACAGGAAUCGGUAUGCACAAAUUACCAUUUUUAAAAGGAUUAUAUAAUAGGUAGUAUUCUAGAAGAUCUACUAUGAAAUCCCUUUUAAACAAGAAGUACAUGAAAAGUAACAGUGAAAUCCAUUCUAAUUUGAAGAAGAUCUGAUUCUAAUAUAAAUUCAUGAACCCAGUCAUUACUUAAGGAAGAUCAUCUUUUCUAGGAAAUUUUCCCAGAGAUGGAAAGAUCAGAAUAAUCCUUCGUCCCAAGUCCACUGGAAAAAAAAAAAAAGAAGAA